ensembl:lncRNA
CAGCCCUAGGGAACAAAAGCGGAGCCCCUUCUCGCCCUCUCCUGCAGCCAGAGGAUGAGUCGAGAGGGCUGAGCGGAGAGUGUGGUUCUUGGCGACUGGGCGGCGGAGAAGGGCCUGCAACAGAGAUCUUAGAUUGUUUAGAAGCCUCCCCCACAGCUAAGAACUGUAUUUUGGAAACACCUGUGGGAGCCCUAACUGAGCAGAGGCAGCAAGGCAAGAGAGCCAGGGUCAGGUGUGGAUGACCAGGCUGGGCACACAGAGCCCCUCCUGGCCACCACUGGCUGUCUGGGUAUCCAAGCAAGGAUCCCCAGGAGGAGGUGGGUCCAUCAACCUACUCAACAUUACGUAGAUAUAAAGUGAAUGUGUUGCAGUGAAAGUCAAAUGUAUCCCCAAAUACCUCUCCACUUCACUACCUGCCAAGGCCAACUUG